GAUUUUAGUGGUUGAAUAUAUCAGUUUCACAACGGUUGUCGUGUUCAUACUCACGAUUUACUUCACAAGUAAAUGUUGUUUUUAUUCUUUAAGGAUUUCGUGAGAAGUAAAACUUCUUUCAAUAAACAAGAAACAGUUAUAAAUACUCAAGUUUGUUAUUUUGCGUUUUGUAGUUAAAAUCAAACUUAUAUUCUUCUUAAAUUCUGUCAACAUGAAACGUAAACAGAAGAGACCAAGACGAGUACGUGUAAUUUGUUCCAUUGAAACUGGCAUGAAGAAUGGAAUCUCCUCUAGUGCGACUUGUAAAGCUUUACGUACGAAAGAAAGCGAUCUUGGUGUGAGAUUCGAAACUUUAAACUCUUCAGAAAAAAACAGUCACUUGUGGUCAUCCAGGUGAAAUGAAAAAAAGCACACUUUCACAAAAUGUCUCAACAGGAACUCGAAAACUCGAAGAAAAUAUUUUGUCAUGUAAAAAAGAUCUAGAAGUUUGCCAUUCUAAAAAUUCUGUUAAAAGAGAUAAAAAGAAAUUGGCAAAUUCCGAGUUAUUUAUAAAUUUUGAAAACACAUCAAAAGGUGGAGUGUCUUUUCCAAUCAUAAAGAACGUUUUACCUUGUCACCACUUGGCAAGGUAAUGUUAAAAACUCAGCUAAACUCUCCUAUAACACCUCCAUGCUCUCCUCCUUUGUUUAUAAAUCACAAUGCAAUUAGCGAAAAUCUUUUAGUUCAGUCAAAGACGUUUAGCUCCCGUGAGCAAGAAAAAACCUGUGUAUUUUCGACAAAGUUUUGUCAUCAAAGAGAGGUAAUGGAUCCCAAGGCAGAAGACGACAAUCGUGAUAAAUUAAAGGACAUACCAAACAAUUUAUACACAAACCAAAAUUAUGAAGAUAGAUGGACAACUUACACUAUAAAAAAUCCAAAAUUUUUGUCAAAUUGUCCGCAUGAAGACAGUUUACCAAUAAGCAACGGUAAUUGUGUUUCAAGUGAAAAGAAAUACUCGAAAGAUACUAUUGUAACGUCUCGCGAGUACAAAGUCUUGCAGCUGAAAAGGAAGUUACAAGAGCAAGAGCUAGCUUUGAAAAAGCUACGUACGCAGUUGUAAAAAGAGUUGAAUCUAAUACGGUGAUUUUUUUAAAGAGCUCAUUAUAUAAAUAUAAACAUAUCAAAUCAAAUUUUACUACGGAUUUGUACGAGUUAUUAAUAUUAAUUAACGCUUGUAUGAUCUAAAAAAGUAGAGAAAUGAAAAUGUUGGCUUAAAAAUAUUAAAUAAGAGAGGCUCGUUGUAUUUCGACAUCGUUUUUACUUUUUGCCUUUCUAGACUAGCCAAAUGUUUUAAAAUUCGACCUUAAGUGCCUUUGGAAAAAGCCACGUUGCCAGCUCAAUAAGUGAGGGGGGUUUUAUUUAUAUAUUCAUGUUUUGUGCAAUAAGUUCUUUUGAAAACAAUUGUUUCUUAGGGAUUAAAACAUGCAUGAAUGAAUAUUGUCCCCCUCAAUUAUCAAGCUGGCGAUGCCAAUGGUUGGAAACUGAACGAUCUACUGUUUUAAAUGCACGAGGCUUAGAGCUGAUAAAGUAGUAAGCUUACUUCGCUCAAAUAUUAAGUUUAUUCCUGAUUGUUUACACCAAGAGUUACAAAUAGAAGCUGGAAAGGCCAAAGCAAAGGAGCAAGAAAAGCAGAAACUUCCUCAAGAAACUGACCUUACUGGGAGGAAUUGGUACUACCUAAAAGCCCACAACUAUGUUUUAGCCUUCAGGCCUCGUAAUUAGUAAUUCGCCACUGGAUAUAGGUGAUACAGGAAGGAACAGCGAUGGUUGGAUAUUCUUGAAUAGUGCUGUUGGCCAGUGUAUUUUAGAAAAUCGAUUGCAUCUUCCUACAGAUGAAGAACUUGGGCAAACAUCUAUUAAACUUUGCUAUGUAUUCGUGGGUGACAAGACUUAUCCUCUGAAAGUAAAACCUUGUCCGGCAGUAGUAUUGGGAUUCAAAGAAAAAAUUUAAAACUGUCGAUUAUCAAGGGCAAGUCGAUUAAUAGAAAACUCUUUUGGCAUUGCUGAAUCAUGAUUAAGUGUUUUUCGAAGGCCUAUCAUUGCGAAGGUAGACACUGUUGUGAAAGUAACCAAUGCUGUUGCUGUUUUUGGACGAUUUUGGUAUGAUAACAUAGCAAAAUCAAGUUAAAUCAGAUUAUCAUCUUCAGGAUAGAGUGACAACUAGACACAAAAAGAAUUUAAGAAAGGUGAAUGGAGAUCUUUUUUCACUGACUACACUGGAUUGAAAGAUUUUGAAAGCUUUGCACACUAAACUACACAAAAAAUACAAAACUGUUUGAGACAGUUUUAGGGAUUAAUUCUGUUCUGUAGCUGGUUCUGUCCAAUGGAAAAUAAAAAUGAUAAACAGCAAAACAAAUCAUUUUGACCAUCAUCAAUUAUAGCAACUUAUCUUCCAUAUUCUCCCAUGAUUGCUUAAAGCUGUGAUGUAAGAUGUAAAUUACUAAUUAAUCUGGUAUUUUGUUCCAUUGUCAAGCCAAAAUUUUCAUUAUUUUCACCAAUCACUGAAGCAAUUUCACGUUUCUCUUACAUUCACUGAGAAUGAUUUAUCCUUGCAUAAUACUGUUUUUUUAUUUUAGACGUAUGAUUUCAACAUGUACAUGUUAGAAAAGAAAUAUGUUUGCAUGGCACAAUAAAUCAAAGUAUACCUUGGUCAUCAUAAACCUUUUUCGUAAAAUUUCGAGACAAAAACUCACCAUCGGUUUGUAAAAUUAGAAAAAUUGCAAGCUUAACAUUUACACAUAUAUAUGAAAACAUUUCCAAGUGUUGUAAAUAACUAUAACUAAACAAAACAUCGUGUCAA